UGAAAAUAUUCCCCAUGCUUGGCAGAGGUUUUUCUAAGGUUACAAUUUUCUAUCCAGCACAGACUAGCAUGAGGAGAUACAAACAAAAGAAACAGAGUGUCUAUGUAAGGAUCAGAUGUAAAUUAAAUGAUAAAAGACUGGGGGGAAACGCCUGGAAACAACGCUGAAGAUCACUUUUGCUGCAGGAUGGAGAACAAGUUAAAGAAGGCCAGUUAGAAGGUGUGGCGAUGAUCCUGUCAAGAGAUGAUGUGGCCUAAAUCAGAGCAUGGCAAAGGGACUGAUGAAAAAUAGACUUGUGGCUGCAAGGGUGACUCUUCACAGCUCCAAACCCCACCACUGCCACCAACUGCAGAAACAACAAGAAUUCACUUUACUUCCUCUUUCUCAAAAGAACCAAAAUCCAUUCGUGCUCACCAUGUUGCAGCCACCCUUCCAUCCUCUGUUCUUGGUUCCCAGGCAGCUUAUUUCCUUCAUGUCCCUGGCGCAGACUCAACCUCUCUUACUUUUUCUCUGGAAUCUCCACUCUUUAGCAGAUGUUAACUGAAGGAGAAAGAGAAAGUAAUAUUUUUUCUCCCUUGGAAGUUUGCCUCAAAUCAAUCAAUUUGCCAUAUUUAACAUUCCAGCUUUGUGCAUAUGCUAAUAAAUCAUUAAAAUUCACGUGGAUCC
rnacentral:lncRNA from 1 species